UAAUCAGCUCUUUUCAGAGCUACCACAUAUAUCUCAACGUAAACAU
rfam:Trichomalopsis sarcophagae strain Alberta scaffold14680, whole genome shotgun sequence.